rnacentral:lncRNA from 1 species
AACAGAUUUUCUUUUAUUUAUUCCAUAAACAAUAUACCAAAACUCAGCAUGUUAACAAUGUGACAUUUUUCACCAUACAGGAUCAAUCACAAAUAUUGAAAAACUUUUCAACAAGAACAACAAAACCUCAAAUCUUACAAGAAUAAUUUACAAGAGAAUCUAUAAAACAGCAAAGAGCUCACAAAAUUCUCAAUGAAUCUUUACACGAAAUCACUACACUCUUUCACAAUAUUUGUUUUAUUACAAAAUUUCCGACAAAAUGUACUUUUUUUUUCUUUGUAUUUUGGUUUUUAAAACCAGAAACCUUUAAGUAUAUAUCCUUUUAAGAACACCCCAGGGUGCCAAAAAAAGGAAUACCCACACAUACGGACACUUCACAGCACUUCUCUAAGAAAAAUAUACACUUACAAAAUAUAUUACAAAUUGGCACACUUAAAAAUAUACAAGUUUUUGUAGGCGUUAUUAGAGUGAUCCCUUAAAGAAUUAUACUUCGAUUGAUUCUACAGAUAUUUAUAAAGCUUAUUCUAAAAGAAAUAAAGGCAAAAUCAAUAGCAUUGCAGAAGUUAAUGUUCUUACAUUCAUAUAAGGGGACUGUUAAGAUUUAAUGUAAUACUUGGAGAGGAAACUGCAAACCAGAAUGAUUCGUAGCACCUUGAAUUCCUUUUUGUGCUAGGAGGUUGUCAACAGUGAUGCAAUGGACACCUCUCCAGCAACUCUCAGGUCAAACCAAGAAAACGAAAAGGUUCAUGCAAUAAUAAAGAAAUUAAAAAGCAAUACAUUCAAAUCUCUGUAGGCAAAAGUAGCAGAAUCUAGAAGGCCAGCAGUACACAUACUGUACAUCACUUUAGAGUUUACGUGUUUAUUAUGGAAUCUUCUGAUAUAGGAGUAUUCUUUGCAGAGGGAAGGGACAAAUGCAUUCCUUCAAAAUAUAUAAUGAGCAGGGAGCGAGUUUUAAUCAAGUAGAAAACAGGACAUGUUAUUGUAAAGGGGAAGCAAAGGAUUCUGGGAUCUGUAUACCAUCCAUAUUUACUUGCAGUGCUAAAACAGGUGAUUGUUUGCUAGGCAGACAAGAUAUUUAUCUGACUGUUAUAUGUAGUGCACAUAGAACAGGACAGAUAUUAAAAUCAGACAAAUUAUAUGACUUGUAUCUAUUCAAUAUUCAAUAUAAUUUGGGGGUGAAAAAAAAUACAGACAAGUGCACUAUAAAAAUAACAGUUAUGGACAUUUUAAGAAAAUUCAACAUUGUGCAUAAGUUACACACAGUUUUGUCUCAUGAUUGGUUCUUUCUGUUUAAAACAAAAAUGCAGAUGGGGCCAAGUCGGGAGUCCUUUAUUAUCAAAUCAAAAGAUGGAGAUUGUAAGUCGAUAUCUUAUCUCAUUCUGGUGCCUGAGGGUUUCUCUUUAGGGUAAGUGCGAAAAGACUGCUCACUAACCAAGAUAUCGGAGCUAAGCACGGAGUAAUGUGCUUGUCUCUAUAGCAUAUGCCUCCAUCUGCCUAGCUGUGGAUAGGGCCGGAUGAGAAAACUGUGUGUAACCUACAAUGAACACAGUGUUCUUAAAACUGGCUGCUUAAACAUCACUUUGGCUUCUAUAAAGGACCCCAGUAAUUUUUAAGGUUUACUGGUUCUUUAAUAAUGUGUCGAACACCCCUCAGUUAUGACAAGGCUAAUACAAAAUGGUGGGUCUGUUUAGGAAAAAUUGUAAAACGAGCAAGUAGAAAAUUCAUCAUAGACGCAAAAAUCCAAUGAAUGUGCAUUUAUUGGGAAACUUUAUGUCUCCAUCUAAGUAUAAUAUAAUCUAGUAACUUUAUAUGUAAAUAUAAAAGGCUAGUGAUUUAUUUCUAUAUUUAAUAUGGUUAUUUUUGCUUUAAAUAAACAGGUUUGAUUUUCAAGGUUUUCUAUGGCACAAUUAGGGAAAUGUUUGUAUAACCCCUACUGUAAAAGGGUGCAUCAAGUUUUCAAUUGUACAUUUGUUUUAUAGUGCUACAGUUUAUUUUUGGCAUCAGUCAAACCACUGGGUUUGUUUUCGAAAAAUCCUUACCCACUUUAAAAAAGGCAAAAAAACAAACAAAACAAAACAAAAAAAACACUCAAAAAAAUCUGUGGAAAUGUCCCAAACCUGAGAAUGUCUUGCAGCUCAAAAGUAGAACAAACAUAACACACAAAAUACCAAUAGUGAUUAUGAAUUUUAUAAUAACCAGCUGAUCAUUUGUGAACAUCAAUAUUCCUCCAGAUUAUAAUCGGUUAAUUUCUUCGUAAUAUGAGGCUAUGGAAACUGGCAAUGGAAAACCGCUGUAAACAAAGGGUUAUAAAUGCAUGGAGUUGUCAGAAAAGACAGAUUUGGCACAGAGUAGAACAUUUAAGAAAUUAAAAUCCAAAAAAUACCAAAAAACAAUAAACCGAACCAUAAAUGAAUCAAGAAUGUUAAAGAAAGGUAAUAGAUAAUAGACCAGAUUACUUUUAUGGAAAACAGUUCCGUAUAGUAAAUAGAAUUUCAAAUUGGGAUAAUAUUAAAAAUACUUUUGCUGCUGCGCGGGGUUGCAACAGAUCACUCAAUCAAUGAAUGGACAAUGCACACUCUAUGACACCUUGAAGACUAGUGAUGUCUAAUUUUUGUUGUCCUCGCAAUUGUCAUGAUGCGUCGGCCAAUCAAGUGGCUGGAUAAGCAUUACCGUGACUAUAAUCAGCUAGAGCAGCGGUAGGCAACUUUCAGCACUCCAGAUGUUAUGGACUACAUCUACCAUAAUGCUCUUACAGCCAGAAUGCUGGCAAAGCAUCAGAGGAGAUGUAGUCCACAAGAUCAAGAUCACUGGAGGUUGCUUUGAGACCAAACCUUAACCAUUGUUUACUGUCCAAACUGUCUGAAACCUUAUGAUUAAACAUAUGCAUGAGCAAUGUAAUCUUUUAUACAAAGAGUAUGGCAACUAUACCUGGCCCGUUGUAUUACCAAGAACAAAACAGAAUAUUGAUCAUAUCAUUACACAGGUAACUUUCCCUACUUUUGAAAAGUUUAGCAACUUGAGUUUCUAUAAAUUAGAUGAAAAUUUGCCAAUGCUUUUCAGUGUACUGAAAAUAUAAAUUAAGCAUUAUAAUCCUUUAAAAUGUGUUAUACCUCUUGCUUGGUUUAUAUAUAUAUAAACUCUCCUAAUAUGCACAUAUCUAUAUAUAAUACAUUCUACAAAAUAUAUUUCCUCAAGGCAGCAGCCAUUUUGUUUAUCAAGCAGGUUACACUAGACUUAGCUAGAGAACUUUUGUUCAAUUAUUCAUAUAUAAUAAUUACGUGAAAUCAGUGCAUUAACAGGGAUGCAGCAAUAUUCUUCCAUGCUAUUUAUGAUUUUACAAGUAAUAAUGAUAACAAGACAAUAGCUUCCACCAUAAAGAUCUGCUAAAUAAAAUGGCUGCUCCAUGUAGCCUUAUUUUGGUAAUGUAUUAUUAUUUAGCAUGUAGCAAUAACAAUGGUUCUAUAAAAGACUACACAUUAUUGAAGGCAAUUAAGCCUUUUUUUGUUUUGAAAUUUUACUUUAAGAUUCUCUGAGAAUAGCGAGGGUAUGUCUUUUUUUUUAGAGUUCAGUUCUAUCCAUGGCUCAUAAUCCUGUAUUGUUUUGUAUGAAUAAAAUAUAUAAUACCUGAGAAAUAGAUCUGAACGUCCCGUGUCUAGUCAGAUAGUGUAGUUGCUUCACUAAAACAUUUUUACAUUAUAUGCUGUUUUAACAAAUUAAUGAAGUUACGGACAUCAAUGAAUGCUCCACAGUAAAUGCAGUAAAUGGAGAAAUCUUUCAAAAUGUGCAUCCACUCCACUGUGUAAACCUUGCCUAUCGGGACCUAUCGGUGCAUGACAGCAUCUUACAUAUUGUAGUUUAUAAAUAUCUGCAGUCACAAACUUAGAAUUCACUGAAAUAGAGCAUCAUGCAAACAAUACCAAUUCUUUCACAUGAUGAGAAGGAUUGUUUUGGCAGUAACUGCAAAAAAGUAUGGCGUUUUCAAUGCAGUUUGAAGGGCAGAUAAAAAUAAGCUCAUUUGAGUGUCAUAGCUUUCCUGUAGCUUUCUGUUAGAGAAUAAAGACUCCUUACACAUUAAUCUGACCCUCUAGUAAGACUUCAAUUUCUGAAAAAGAAUAAUGAAAACUACUUCUGCAAGUAGAUUUGCAUUUACCUGGAGAAGAGGUCUACAUUCAUUUUUUUCAAUGGAUGAAACAUGCCAAUAGGGUCUCUUGGCCAUGCAUUUAGUUCUGUUCAUUUCCCCAUAACAUACUGGCCAUCCAGAGUGGAUGUGGAGAUUUACGACAAGGGAGGAGCAUUCAAUCGUUAGUUUGCUUUAAAUUUGUUUACUAAUGUAUUAUCUCUGUAACGAUACAUUCACCAUAUUAAAGUCUUCCGUGCUUAAGCAAAGUUUAGACGGGAGAGACACAGGUUGUUAUUGAAAUAAAAAAAGUAAUUACUUAAUUGAUAUAUAUUAUUAUAGAACUUUGAUAUUCUCCACCUAUUUUUGCUGGCACAAGUCCAGUCUAGCAUACACAUAAUCCAAAACUGAUGAAAGUUUAUAUAGUUCUGUCUCUUUGGCCUCUUCUCAGCCAUGACUAUCUGGUCAGUAGCUGCAGAUGUACCUUAUAUACACAACUAACCUACUGCAUGAUAAAUCACCUACAAAGUUUUUUCAUUUUUCAAAAAAACAAUGUAAUGACUGAGCAAUAAGUUGAUUUGCUCAUCCAUUCGCAACUCAAUGACUAGAUGUCACCUACUCAUAAACAAAUAGCAUAGCUAUUUCUUAGGUAGUUAAAGAGCACAAUACUUAAAGGAACACUCCGAGCACCCUUACCACUGCAGCAUUUUAGAAUGGUGUGACUUCUUACCUGUGAUCUACCUGGCUCUGCCCUCUUCAGCCUCCAGGUGAUCCUGUUAGGAGCUGCUGUUAGCUUUUCUGAGUUAAGCCCUGCAAAACAGAGCCAUCUCUUGCUGAACUACAACUCCCAUGAUUCUUUGACUGAAAUAGAUUGCCAGAGAAUCAUGGGAAUUGUAGUUCAGCAACAUCUGGAGGGUCAGAGUUUGGAGAACCCUGGCUUAGAGCAUCAGCAAAUUGCUCUCUGCCAAUGAGCUCACCAUGAUACUUAGCUCAGGCAGAGCGCUUCUGGCUCUCCUGGAGGCUGCAGAGAGGCAGAGAGUAGCAGCUUAGAGCACCCUGGUUAAGAAGUACAACUGUUCUAAAACGCUUUCAUUACUUACAUUGGAGAGGGUGCAGGGCACUCCUUGCACCAUAACCAGUACACUGUGCUACAGUGGUUAUGGUGUUUGAAGUGUUCCUUUAACUAACACCAAUAAAAUAAAAACAUAUUCAUUUAUUUUGUGAUUACACUAUACAAAUGACACAUCUAAGAGAUGCAAUGCCUGUAGACUGACUGUGUAUCAGUGGAUAUUUAGUUCACAAAACUUUGGUGCCACAUUUAACUAUUACUGGAGUAAUCAAUUGAACAGUAAAUAAAUACAUAAUACAUAAAUAAUAUUUGGGGUACCUUAUUAUUUCUUUUUUUUUUUUUUUAAAUACCAGAUAUUACCAGUCUCUAGUGAAAGAGCCAUAUAUCACUAACAUAAAAAAACAAACCCAAAAAGAUGAACUAAUAUCAAUGAAAUGGAAUAUUGUAUUUAUUACUAACUGGGAUACUUAAUACACAGAUCUCAAUAGCGACUCCCGGCGAAACAGGAUGCUCAUGGGAGGGGUUAGAGGAGGUGGGGCACUGACUUACUGGCAGAUCAGCCUGCCAAUCAUACAGGCCAGCCCACUGAGAGCAGACCAUGCAGGGAGCACAGUUUCAGUGCACCCUGCAGGAUUCUAGUGCCCUGAGUGAAGAGAGAGAGAGAGAAUCUAAUGACGCAUUGAGAUGUUCUGAAUUUACUGCUGAUGUGCAAGAUUUUCUUCACAAUGUUGGAAGGUAGGAUCUCUGGACAAAGACUAAGGUGGAGGACUAGGCCAUAACUAGGGGCAGGUCCGACUAGGGUAUAAAAAAAUGAGAAUACUAUCUGAAGUACAGCCCACUCAUUUUGAAACACUGAUUGUACAGGUUAAUCUAUUAAAUGAUAUCUCACGGUACUUAAAAAAACAACAUAGCUUAAUAUUUGAAGAAAAAACAAAAAUAAACAACCAAAGCUUUUCUCAUACAUUGCAAAAGUAAUGCCUUGGGAAUAGGAUCCUUUACUUAUAUUACUGAAGCCUUAUAUACAAAAUUGUGCCUUCAUUUAAAUUCCCAUGAACAUGUACAUAUUGUAAGAAUUAUAUAGAUAUCUAGAUUGUAAACAAUAGUUAAUAGAGAUAUCAUAGCAUUUCACACAUUGCACCAACGCCCUGAUAUAAAUAUAUUGCAGUUAAACAGUAAGUAUGUAUUUGUAUGUACAUACAGUAUUGUAUGUAUUUUUAUAUAGGAUAUGCUAAAGAGUCAGUAAAGACUGAACAUAAAGUGGUUUCUGAAAGAAAUGUGGUUAUAAAAUAGGUUGACCAAAUUAGUCCUUAAAGGGAAACUGUCAGUCUUCGGAAAUUAAAUGAAAUUCAUCUCUAACUUGUGUUAAUUAUUUUUUUUUCAUGUGAUGCUUUGUUUCCUUUUGAAUCUAAGAAAUAAGCAGGUUAAAUCAGAAUCGAACAAGAAUUGGAAAAAUUGUUUUAUGUCUCCUCUUCUCUGAAUGCAUUCUAUACCGCCAGAUACAAAGGUUAGGUCAGAGCUUAUAACAAUGGUUGACAGGAGACAAGGUGGAGAUCAGUUGCAGAAUAAAGAAGUAUGGAUUUCUACAUUAAAUUUUAUUUUUCACACCUCACAAGUACAUAUUUAUUAAUAUAGCGGCUAAGUAAACAUAGUACUAAAACUCCUGGAAAGAGACAGUUCCUCUUUAAAGAGGGAGUCUUAUAAGAUAGAUACAUCCUACAGGAUGGCACUGAUUAGUAAUGCAACACUGUAGUAUACAUUUUAAAAAAAUCUCCUUCACUCUAAACAGUAAUCUAGGGUAGGUCUAAUACAUUAAAUAGGUAGUUUUGCUAAUAAUGGUUAAAACAGAAGCAGUAUCACCUCUACUGUCCUCCAAGAACUGUCUGGUUCCAAAGUGGUCACUGGUAGAUGUUAGACUUGUGCAUUCGUUUUCUCCCUAAUUAAGGGUGAUUGGCAACUCAUUUGAAUUUUACAAACUCCGAAACUACAUAAAGAUAAAUCAUAAAGCAAACAAAAUGGACAAUGGACAGGAUGUUUAAUUUGAUUUGUGAUUCGGAGUUCGAUCUGUGGCACCAAAAAUCUAAUAUUUUAUGGAAAAAAAUGGUUAGGGGCCAGACAUUAAAUGUUGAUUUUAUUCACAGAUGAAAUGAGAAG